ACUUAGCCCCGGUUGAAGCGGUUACCCUGCAACAACGAGGUCCGAGGCAGCGAAGCGUAAAAGCGAAAACGGGAGGGAAU
rnacentral:sRNA from 1 species